rnacentral:rRNA from 1 species
GGAUAACUGUGGUAAUUCUAUAGCUAAUACAUGGUAUAUGUGGUCCUCCUGAAUCGGUCCCUCACGGGUUCGAAAAGGCCGCUAUUGUUACAUGUAAGAGCACUGGAAUUCUUGUAAUUCCAAGGAAAACUGAUGAAUCACAACAAAUUAGCCGAGCGUAUGGUCUAGCACCGACGCUGUACCUUUCGAGCGACUGCCUUAUCAGCUUUCGAUUGUAGGGUAUUGGCCUACAAUGGCUAUAACGGGUAACGGGGAAUCAGGGUUCGAUUCCGGAGAGGGAGCCUGAGAAACGGCUACCACAUCUAAGGAAGGCAGCAGGCGCGCAAAUUACCCACUCUCAGCUCGAGGAGGUAGUGACAAAAAAUAACGAUGCGUGUCUCUUUCUGAGGCCUCGCAAUCGGAAUGGAUUUGUACUUAAAUCACUGAAUGAGGAGCAAUUGGAGGGCAAGUCUGGUGCCAGCAGCCGCGGUAACUCCAGCUUCAGUAGCGUAAGUAAACGUUGCUGCGGUUAAAAAGCUCGUAGUUGGACCUUGGGUGCGGACGGGCGAUUCACGCAUCGUUAUUCUAGCGGCUGAAAAGGUAACACUUGGAUGCCAAUAGGAUUCGGUGUCUGAUAUCAACGCUCGAUUCAUCCGUCACUUUAUUACAUGCUCUGUCGGUUUUAUGUGUGUUGGGCGCCUUUAUCGGGUGACCUAGCUCACGUGGCCGACAAAGUCACUUUGCAAAAAUAAGAGCGAUUAAAGCAGGCUUGAUGCCAUGAAUAUUAAUGCAUAGUACGAGAGAAUAGGACUUUGUCUCUGUUUGGUGCACAGAUUGAUAAAGUAAUGAUUAAGAGAGACAGACGGGGACGUUCGUACUGCGGCGUUAGAGGUGAAAUUCUUGGAUCGCUGCAAGACGAACUACAGCGAAGGCAUUCGUCCAGAACGCUUUCAUUAAUCAAGAACGAAAGUUAGAGGAUCGAAGGCGAUCAGAUACCGCCCUAGUUCUAACCGUAAACGAUGCAAACCGGCUUUUAGUCGGCGUUAUACCCAAACACCCGAUUAGCAACCCCCGGGAAACCAGAGUUUUUGUGUUCCGGGGGGAUGUAUGGUUGCAAGGCUGAAACUUAAAGGAAUUGACGGAAGGGCACCACCAGGAGUGGAGCCUGCGGCUUAAUUUGACUCAACACGGGGAAACUUACCAGGACAGGACAUCGGAAGGACUGACAGAUUUGAAGCUCUUUCUCGAUUCGAUGGGUAGUGGUGCAUGGCCGUUCUUAGUUGGUGGAGUGAUUUGUCUGGUUAAUUCCGAUAACGAACGAGAUUUUGCCCUGCUAACUAGUCUGUAGAUUAACACAGGUUCACGCAAGUGUUCCUGGAACCCCAUGGUAUGUUGAUGUUCUGCAGUCGGUUUGGGUGCCUGUCUUGCCUUUCGGGGUGGGCAUGGUUAUUCGGACUUGUACUUGUUUGAACGUCUCGUGCCUAUUGGGGUGUCUGCAUUGGUCUUCUUAGAGGGAUCGGCAUCGUAUAGUUGCACGAGAUUGAGCAAUAACAGGUCUGUGAUGCCCUUAGAUGUCUUGGGCUGCACGCGCGCUACAAUGGAGAGAUCAACGCGUUUUUUUCCUGCUCCGAGAGGAGUUUGGGAACCCGCUGAAAUCUCUCCUCAAUUGGGAUUGCGGCUUGCAACUUUUCCUCAUGAACGAGGAAUUCCUGGUAAGCGUCAAUCAUCAGUUCACGAUGAUUACGUCCCUGCCCUUUGUACACACCGCCCGUCGCUACUACCGAUUGAAUGAUUCAGUGAGGCCAUUGGACUGGCGCCCUAGAAUAGGAGCAAUCCUUUCGUGGGUCGACGGGAAGAUGUCCAAACUGGAUCAUUUAGA